rnacentral:misc_RNA from 1 species
UCUCCGUUGGUGAACCAGCGGAGGGAUCAUUACAGAGUGUAAAAACUCCCUAACCCAUGUGAAUAUACCCCACGUUGCCUCGGUAGGUCGCCCGAGCUACCCUGUAGUGUAGGGUGCCUACCGCUGGCCCGCAAAAACUCUGUCUAUCUUGGAACUCUGAAUCACUAUAAAAAUAAGUUAAAACUUUCAACAACGGAUCUCUUGGCUCUGGCAUCGAUGAAGAACGCAGC